AACGAACGCUGGCGGCAUGCCUAACACAUGCAAGUCGAACGAAGCCUUCGGGCUUAGUGGCGCACGGGUGCGUAACGCGUGGGAAUCUGCCCUUUGGUUCGGAAUAACAGUUGGAAACGACUGCUAAUACCGGAUGAUGACGAAAGUCCAAAGAUUUAUCGCCAGAGGAUGAGCCCGCGUAGGAUUAGCUAGUUGGUGUGGUAAAGGCGCAUCAAGGCGACGAUCCUUAGCUGGUCUGAGAGGAUGAUCAGCCACACUGGGACUGAGACACGGCCCAGACUCCUACGGGAGGCAGCAGUGGGGAAUAUUGGACAAUGGGCGAAAGCCUGAUCCAGCAAUGCCGCGUGAGUGAUGAAGGCCUUAGGGUUGUAAAGCUCUUUUACCCGGGAUGAUAUUGACAGUACCGGGAGAAUAAGCUCCGGCUAACUCCGUGCCAGCAGCCGCCGUAA
rnacentral:rRNA from 1 species